rnacentral:miRNA from 1 species
UAUUAUAUGUGUCUCUGUGUGUGCGAGCAUGUACAUGUGAGCACACGUGCAUGCUACAGUUCACAAGUGAAGGCCAGAGAUGACUUACAGGAG